AUGAAAGGAAUCGAACGUCUUAGCACCACUGAAGACCUGCUUUCUUUUAUUGACCUUUGGCACCGGAUUCAAGGGAUUACUCUUUCGGAUCAUCCAGACGACAUUGAAUGGAAAUGGAACGACAGCAAAACGUACACUGCUGCAACUGCCUAUGAUGCCCAAUUCAUCGGAACCAUUGCGAAGCCAGAGUUAAAUGCCAUUUGGAAAGCAAAGGUGGAGGGAAAAAUCAAAUUUUUUGCUUGGCUGCUAGCUCAAAAUAGACUGCCAACUGCUGAUCGUCUCCGUGCGAGAGGAUGUGAACACAAUGACACCUGCUCCCUCUGCGAUCAAAUGAUUGAGAUUGCCGCCCACCUGAUCAGUUCCUGCCCUUUUGCAAAGGAAGUGUGGCAGAAGAUUAUUGUCAUGCUCCCUAACUGUCGGCUACAAACAACCUUGCCGUUCACCUCUACCACAUCCUGGUGGAGAAGCUUUGCCUACGGGCAGCAAAACAAGGCAGCAGCUGCGCUUUACUUCGCCUGGAACAUCUGGAAUGAGCGAAACCGAAGAAUCUUUCAAAACCUUUCUUCAACUGCUGAUAUGGUGGCUUGCUUAGUCAGGUCUGACUUAACAUACCUGGACUUGGCUUUUUCGAGGCCUCUAGCUAUGUAA
rnacentral:rRNA from 1 species